UAAAAAGACUUAUAUUUAAGAACAGAGGGAGUACAUUAUUACGCAACAUUGUUCCAAUGAUCUUCAUAUACUAAAACACAGUUAACGAAACUAUUAAGAAUUACAACUCAAAAAAAAUAUUAAGCAUUAUGUACUAAUUCGCAAGGAAAAUAGCUCUUUAUCAUCUAUUUCUACAUAUAAAUAUGUAAUAAAAUGCAUUAACCGUGCUCAGUUCAACCUGGACAACAAAAACGCACUACUCCGAAGUAAUUACAAAGCGGGACUGUCUAUUUGACAUUUGACUGUUUUUCAAUUCAACAACAUUCAAAUUCCCCAACCAAUGAACAGAUGACACAUGUUUGUCCCAAACCCCCCACCCCACGGGUCGUUGUUGGUUUUCUUAUUUCGGGUUAAGCGGGUCGGGCAAAACCCUGGCCCGGUUUCAACUAAACCGACACCACCACCAAACCUCGCUGCACGGCAGCCUCGCUGGACCACAGCAAACAGUUGGCCAUCAACUUGCUACGGGAAACGCAGGCCCCUUUUGGGAACUCUCCAACCCCUCCUACAUAACAGCAGCAGAGAUCUCACCUAAAACACAUCACAAAAAAAGAAACAAAUCAGGCCUACGGCCAUGGAAGAAGGAGGGGAGAAGAACAAAGAGCAGAUCAAAAUCAGAUAAGGCAGGCAGCCAUGAGAGACAGGGGUGAACCUGGAGAGGAAGGUGAAGGUUUACCUGGAGACGAGCAAGAAGGAACAACAACAUCUUCAAUUCUUCACCCGCUUAGGCAAUUGGGGAAAUCCCAGAAAAAUCAACAAGUCAGGAACAAAAAAACUACUGCUACCCCCUAGCACUUCAAUUCUUCAGCCCCUUCACCUCUCUUAAAAGGAAAUCUGCAAAAACAAAAUGUGUCGCAGAAACUAGAUACAGGUUAAGAAACAAUCAGUAGACAAAAACUAGAUACUCUGGAAAUAAUUCAUCACUAGCAGUAGGCAGAACUUGGAUAAUUUUAUAAUUUACACUGCAAGAACACGUAGUGCCUGAUUGAGUCUAGAAAGAACAGUAGCACACCAAGAAUUACAGUGGAAAAUCCCCUAGUAAUUACACUAAAAACUGACUAAACAGACCAAGAAUUACAGUGCAAAAAUCCCCUAGUAAUUACAUAGUAAUUCCCAGUGCAAAUUGCAUAGAAAUUACAGUGGAAAUUGCAGAAAUUACAGUGAAAAUUGCAUGGAAAUUUCAGUGGAAAAUGCCAUAGAAAUUUCAGUGUAUGAAUGUUAAAAUGCAUCAAAACUUAGACUGGAACAAACCUACUGUAUUUACACUGUUAAAAUACUACUGCAAAUUGUACUGUUACUCACACUGUUAAGCUUACCCAUUAAACUGAACCUAUAAAUCACAAUGCUAAAAGCAUGAAUAUUACACUGUAAAUUAGGGCAAAGAUUACACUGUAAAAUACAUAUAAUAAGCAACACGGUAAAACUAGGGGUACACUGUAAAAAUUCAGAAUAAAGACUAGGGGUACAGUGAAAAUUAGCAUGACAGAUUACAUAACUGAAUCAAUGUAAAUACAUUGCAAAAAUCUGGGAAUAUACAUUGUAGCUACAAUGUAAACCAUCGUAAUUCUAGGGGAAAUUACACUGGAAUCAGUAAAUUGUGUAAAUUACACUGAAAACUAAGGACAAGAUACACUGAACUAUAUGAUGAAUUACACAGUGGUUAUUGGGCAAAAAUACAAUUUAAUUCUAGGGUGAAUUACACUGAAGCUACAAAACAGUAAUUCUGCUUUGAAUUACACAGUAAAACUACGGCAUGAAUUACACUGAAACUGCAUAAUGAAUUACAUAGUAAAAUACAGCAUGAAUUACAAAGUAAUUCUACAUUGAAUUACACUGGAGCUGCAUGAUGAAUUACACAAUAAUUCUAUAGUAAAUUACAAUGUAACUACAUGAUGAAUUACACAGUAAAAAUGGGGCAAACAUACACAGUAAAUACUAGUAAUUAUGUGAAGAAACACUGAAACUAUGGGCUGACUUACACAGAAACUACCAUGUAAUUUGCAUAGUAAGUCUGAAGAUUACACAAUAAGUCUGAGGCAAAAAUAUACAGUAAAAAUACUAGUAAUUACAGAGUGAAAAACAGGACCUCGCUCAAUACUACUGCCACAGAGACACACUUGCACAUGAAAAAAAGAAAUAAAUGCAAGAAACUACAUGAAGUACAGAGCUAAAAGCAUGGAAAUCACUGUAAAAAAUGAGAGGUCAAUCAUCUGACAUAUACUGUGUAAGACCUACAAAUUUACAGUACUGAAGCAUACAAAUUACAGUGUAAAUCUGCAGUAUAUUACAGUAUAAGCCCUACAUCAAUUCAGAGGUAAAAUCCACUAUACUCAGUCCAAAAAUUACUGUGUAAAUCAUACAACAUUUACAGUGCUGAAGCAUACAAAUUACAGUGUAAAUCUGCGGUAUAUUACAGUGUAAGCCCUACAGCAAUUCAGUGAUGAAGCAUAGAAAUUACACUGUAAUAUACAGUUUUGAAGCAUAUAAAUUGCAGUGUAAAUCUGGGGUAGAUACAGUGAUGAAGCAUAGAAAUUACACUGUAAUUAUGAGGUAUACUACAGUUGGUAAAUUACAGUGCAAAUAUUAGGCAUAUUACAAUGGAAUCAUGUCCUAUAUUAUAGUGUAAAUCACAGUUAAAUUCCACUAUAGUUCGUGGAAAAUAAGAUGCAUGACAAUUAGCAUAAACAGAAACAUUUCAAUGGCAUCAGACUACUACUGGGAUGAUCUACUGGAAUAAACAGAAACUAGAUUUGCAAUUUGCACACUAAAACUAUGUGGAUUACACAGUAAGACUCAGGCAAAAAUACACAUCAACGGCACAAAGGAAAAGAUACAAACCUGCAUCACACACACACAAUUACCAUGGCAUUAAGAAGAAGGAACCUAAGUACAUCUAAACCAACACUAAGAGCGAUUUAUCCACUCACAUGAUAAAAGGGACCUGCAACAGCGGGCACAGGAGGAACCCUAGAAACCAACACAGCCAGAGGAGGCAACACCCAUCUACCAGUGAACAAACAAACCACCUACCAAUGCAAAUCACAAACCCAAAACCACAAAAACUCCCAUCUCAAAACCCUAUAACUGAUCCAUACAUCUAUCUGAAUCACAAAAACUGAACACGUUGAACCUACCACGAGUAGACGAGGAACAAAAUGGCGGACAACACGAAGCAGAUGAUGAACGACAGCGGGACGACGCGAACCAGAACGAACCACUAAAACUACAAGCACCUACCAUGAAUCUACAACAACACGGCCCCGGAUCACAACACACACCUACCACGAACCCUAUCAAAAUCACAUCAGCAACUGACCCCUAGAUAUGGAAGCUACACACUGAGAAAUGAACAAAAUCACGCGCUCGAGAGAGAAAUUGAGAGACCAACCAACCGCAGGAGGCGAUAAAUCGAAGAGAAAUGAGAAAGAAAUCAAGCUCCACAGGUGGGGGGGGGUCUGGGAAUCGACAUGAACAGAAAGGAAUCGCCUCCGUCGCCCGAGCGCCCGUUCCUCCCUCUUCCUCCCUAUCUCCUCUCUCCCUUAUCGCUACAGUGCCACUCAAAUGAAAGGGGAAAACCACGCCCAAAAUUCAAUAAGGACAAAAACCGGAAGAGGCAGAGAGGAGGGGCGCAGAGCGGUAACGGGCUGGGAC
rnacentral:lncRNA from 1 species